rnacentral:rRNA from 1 species
CCUACGGGAGGCAGCAGUGGGGAAUAUUGCACAAUGGGGGAAACCCUGAUGCAGCGACGCCGCGUGAGUGAAGAAGUAAUUCGUUACGUAAAGCUCUAUCAGCAGGGAAGAAAAUGACGGUACCCGAGUAAGAAGCCCCGGCUAACUACGUGCCAGCAGCCGCGGUAAUACGUCGGGGGCAAGCGUUAUCCGGAUUUACUGGGUGUAAAGGGAGCGUAGACGGUGAGCCAAGUCUGGAGUGAAAUGCCGCGGCUUAACUGCGGGACUGCUUUGGAAACUGGCGAACUAGAGUGCGGGAGGGGUAAGCGGAAUUCGUGGUGUAGCGGUGAAAUGCGUAGAUAUUAGGAGGAACACCGGUGGCGAAGGCGGCUUACUGGACCGUAACUGACGUUGAGGCUCGAAAGCGUGGGGAGCAAACAGGAUUAGAUACCCUUGUAGUC